UGAUGAAGAGAAAGGAGGAACAUAUAGUAGUCUUGAGAAGAUAUUGGGAAGACUCAGCAGCAAAGAGUAUGAAUAACCAUAGAUAAGCACGUGGCAGCUUCAGUUUUAGCUCAGAUGGUGUUUGGCUGAAUGGGCAUCAUGUAUUGGCUGGGUGAACAAGCACAACUGAAAGAGGCAGGAGGUACCACUAGGAGCUGGCAUGAAUGUGGACUGCACAUAAAAAAAUCAACAUCUCGUGAAAUGGUAGCUGAUGAUUGGCAACAAACAAAACAGGGAGCUCCCCUGGAGGCCAAGAGCACGUGAAGCAGAGGUCCACAGCACCUUUUGGGUCUGGAGCUGAUACAGAGCCACCUCUCUGAACCAUCCUAGAACAAGUCACCCUGGGAAAAAAUAAACAUUUGGCCUACUUUCA
rnacentral:lncRNA from 1 species